GCCCUAUGGUCCAGGCAGUAGAUGCCCUGAAGGCUAGGGUAUGGGAAGGGUGGGGACAGGCUGGGAGCAAAAUGUGGACUUCUAGAGGGAGGACAGCAUUCCUGGCAGGGGAAGAGCCUGAGCAAAUGUGCUGGGAGAAGAAGCAGACCUGACCUUGGCCUCUCUUCCCUGCUCCCGCUCCUGUCCCCACCUCCUGUUGCAUUUGGUGGUUGGUAUCUGAAGACCUGAAAAAGACUUGCUUGGGCAAGUUUGACCUCUCUGUGCACAGGUAACCGUCCCCUGGCCUCGCCCACGUUCUGCGGCACCUCCAGGCCUUGCUCAAUCGCCACCCGGCCAAGAUGAAUCCAUUGAAAAUGCAGGCCCUGGAGCCAGAAACCUGACUCAGGGCAGCAGGCAGGGCUGGAGGGAUGUCCCACACCUGGUGGCACAGUGCGUCCCCUGCUCUGUCCCCUCUGAAGCCCUCGCUCCCACCGAGGAAAACAGAUCUGCUCCCGUUGUGGGUUUGGGGUGAGAGGCAGCGAUUCGGAAGGGAAGCUGAAUCCCUCUGGACUUAAGUGAUCACAUGCUGGGAGGAUUGGAGUCCCUCCAGUCGCCGUGGAAGCACUUCGGUGAUGCCCAUUAAAUAGCACGGCCUCGAUUGCCAGCUUCCAAGAUGAGAGAAGGGAGCCGAGGGGUUCACCCACACACCCCAGAAUAAGAACACUCUUCGUGAGUGUUCAGACCCAGCAGCCCAGGGUCAGGGGUCCCGAGGCCCACGCUAGGAUGGGAGGCCGUCAUGUGCUGGCUCCUGUCCCCUUACUCCUGACGCACAUCCUCUUCCUGCACAGCGGUUGACAAAGCCUGACACCCUACCAGGUGCUGACCUUUGUCCCGGUCCGUGGCCUUGACGCCAGGGCCUCCCGCCUAAGAGCAGGGCCCACAUUGUGUUAGCGCCUGCAGCACCACCUGCUUCCUGCUCGGCCCCCCACCCCCUACCCCCACCCCACAGCCAGAGUCCACUUUGUUCUGAGUCCUUAUCCCCUUCACUCCCGGGAUGGAGCCUGCCUCCCGAGAGCGCUGCCCCAGGCCCUCCAGGCUUUUCCCCGCAGCCCCCCAGCACCAGCACCUCCCUCCACAUUGCCAAUUCCGCCCCCAGUCCUGGACCCCAGCUCUCGGUUUCCCAGACUGGCCAAGGCCACCUCGUGUGCAGUCCUUCUGUUCCAGGAAUUCCCUGGCCCCUCGGGCUCAGAUUUUCUGCAGAGCAACCAACCCGAGAGGAGAGGCACAGAUAUUUGUUAUAAGGAACUGGCUCUUGCAGUCACGCCGGCUGAGAAGUCCCUGGGCCAGCAGCGAGCAAGCUGAGCUCCAGUCCAGCCUGAGUCUGAGCCUGAGCCUGAGCCUGAGUCUGAAGGCAGGAGAACCAUUGACGGCCCAACUCGGAAUCAGACAGAGACACCCUUUCCUCCCUCCCUCCACACUUGGUUCUAUUCGGACCCUCAACGGAUUAGACACGGCCCUCGCACAUGACGAAAUCUAUUCAAGUGCUCGCCUCAUCCAGAGACACGUUCACAGACACAUCCCGAGAGUGUUUUAGCAAAUACCCAAGCACCCCGUGGCCCUGUCGGGGCGACACAUAAAAUGAGCCACCGCAGGGAGUCGUGGAGGGGAAGACGGUGUGUGCGGCCUGGAGGCCCUGCAAGCUGCCCACGUGAGCUGGAAGCCACACACGCGGGUGCAGGGCUAACACAGGAAGCAGCAGCUGUGGCCCGGAUGGAGCCCAGAGAUCAUGAACUUUCUGAAGGAGAAGGGGCUGCAGAGAGAGGCACUUUCUGCACUGAGCCCUGAGGAACCCCAACAUCUGAAGCUUGAGCGGGGAAGUGAACUGAUCACAAGAAAUCUUAUCCAAUGGAAACACCCCCCAGGAAUGUUAUGGGAAGAAAUAAACACACAUGAAGGACAAUGAGCUCCAACGGGAAGGGAGCUUGCUCAAUCAGGGAAGUAGACCAUGGUCAGACGGUGUGUCCUGAUUUGAGGGUCAGAACAUAUGGUCAUAAUCCUGCUGGAGAUGAAUUUUAAACAUCGCUACAAAUUGAGGCGAACAUAUAUGCUCAAUUCACCUGCCACCAAAUGCUCUCUUCUAACUCUCCCUCCCACUUGGUGGGGAUAAAGACUUCUGAGAACUUCUGAAGAGCCCAAAGACAGGUCCCAUAGCUCCUGGGCCAUUUAGGAGAUUCGUAGAAACUCUACAUGAGCCAUCCUUUGGCCUCUGAAAGGCUUGAGAUGAAAAUCCUGGUGAAUUAUCCCUGUAUUGCAGAAGAUUAAAAUCAGGAAAGUGAACAGAAAUGAGGAGCUGGCACUUUGCACAGAUAAAAGGCCACCGCACCCUCCCGCCCGCGUGGGCGCCCUCGGGACACCCUGCACAUCAGCAACUGCCUCGGCCCCUCAGUGAAGACAUCUCCUGACUGAUCCUGUCUCUCCAGUCAGGAAGAAAAUCACGGGCCUCUCAACCUCCAUCGUCAGCUCACGCAAGACACAGUUGCAGAUCGUCCUCCAAAUAAAUCCCUUUCUGUUGUCCUACAACGUGCUAAUUGCCCGUAAUGAGCAAAUUAUAAUAAUUACGGACAGUUGCACAAAACCUUUGACUUAAGUAGCAAUCCUUCACCCGUGAAUUGCAGGGCCUUCCCUAAAUAUUAAUUAAAAGCCACGCCAGUCACCUGACCCGAGACAGUGUUAGCCCACUCUAGAGGUGGGGAAGACAGAGGCGCAGAACGGCACGUAACUUAUUCUGCACAAAUUCAUUUAAGUUACAUUCCAGACAUGAUCUAUAAGGAGUCAAAGAAGUGGCUUAGCUUUUCCAAAGAAUGGAAAACAGGCAGCUGUUAAAAUUUUUCCCAUUUUCAAAGACACCGGGAAGGAUGCUGA